UGGGGAAUUUUGGACAAUGGGCGCAAGCCUGAUCCAGCCAUGCCGCGUGCGGGAAGAAGGCCUUCGGGUUGUAAACCGCUUUUGUCAGGGAAGAAAUCUUCUGAGUUAAUACCUCGGGAGGAUGACGGUACCUGAAGAAUAAGCACCGGCUAACUACGUGCCAGCAGCCGCGGUAAUACGUAGGGUGCAAGCGUUAAUCGGAAUUACUGGGCGUAAAGCGUGCGCAGGCGGUUUUGUAAGACAGAGGUGAAAUCCCCGGGCUCAACCUGGGAACUGCCUUUGUGACUGCAAGGCUUGAGUGCGGCAGAGGGGGGAUGGAAUUCCGCGUGUAGCAGUGAAAAUGCGUAGAUAUGCGGAGGAACACCGAUGGCGAAGGCAAUCCCCUGGGCCUGCACUGACGCUCAUGCACGAAAAGCGUGGGGAGCAAAACAGGAUUAGAUACCCUGGUAGUCCACGCCCUAAAACGAUGUCAACUGGUUGUUGGGAAGGUUCCUUCUCAGUAACGUAGCUAACGCGUGAAGUUGACCGCCUGGGGAGUACGGCCGCAAGGUUG
rnacentral:rRNA from 1 species